CAAUAUUAAAUAUACAUAUUUAUUAGACAAGUUUAUUUACCAAGAUAAGACCUAUAUUACUACCUUGACAUUAAUGAAAACAUCACUUUAAUGUAUAGGACACAUGGUUGCUAAUAACAUGGUUUUCAUUUCGUUUAAAUAUUCAUUAUUCGAAAUAUAUAGGCCCAGAAAGUUUGAAAUAAUUUUCGCUGCUAAAACUUUUCCGACCGUCCCCUGGCGAAGUUGCUCGUUUCCAAAGUUAAUUUGGUAUUGGAGUGAACAAGUAAAAAUCGCCAUGAAAGUUAUUCCUCGGGCAGUGAAUUGCAACCUCAACAAUACCUCAUAAAUUUAGAAGUAUUCAAAGGGGAAUUCAUGGUUGCGUAGAAUUUUACGAAUUCGCAAUGGCGUGAUGUUCUGGUUUUCAGGAGUACUUUUGCAGAGGGACAAAAGAUCAUUAAAUUUAUGGUAUAGUAUUUAUUAAUUGAGAUGAAUAAAUCGUAAAAAAGAAGAUCGCAUUUCCGGAAUUACC